rnacentral:rRNA from 1 species
UGGGGAAUAUUGGACAAUGGGCGCAAGCCUGAUCCAGCAAUGCCGCGUGUGUGAAGAAGGCCUGCGGGUUGUAAAGCACUUUCAGUGGGGAGGAAGGCCUCGAUGUUAAUAGUAUCGAGGAUUGACGUUACCUACAGAAGAAGCACCGGCUAACUCUGUGCCAGCAGCCGCGGUAAUACAGAGGGUGCAAGCGUUAAUCGGAAUUACUGGGCGUAAAGGGCGCGUAGGUGGUUAAUUAAGUCAGAUGUGAAAUCCCUGGGCUUAACUUAGGAAUUGCAUAUGAAACUGAUUGGCUAGAGUGCGGGAGAGGGAAGUGGAAUUUCCGGUGUAGCGGUGAAAUGCGUAGAUAUCGGAAGGAACACCAGUGGCGAAGGCGACUUCCUGGCCCGUUACUAACACUGAGGCGCGAAAGCGUGGGGAGCGAACAG